rnacentral:tRNA from 1 species
GGGUUGAUAGCUUAUGAGGUCUGAGCGACGGUCUGAAAAACCGUAGGAUGAAGGAUCGUUACCUUCUCAACCCACCA